AACCUAGAGCGCCGGAAGCCCCGCCUCCCCGCCCGCGUUGGUCCAAUGUACACAGCGGAUGCUCGGGUAAACGUAGUUCCUGCUGGCUUGCGUGAAUGACAGCCCAAGCAUCUUUCCGCGAACCCUCCAGCCUUGGCGGAGCGCUGGACAGAGAAAUUUACGACCAUCGUGGGGUUUUGGCGGGGCCUGAGCACAAACGUGUCCUGGGGAGUUCAAAAGCAGCCUGGGAUACAUGGGAUCCUGUCUCCAAAAGAACAAAGUGCCAAAUAAGAUGGCUCAGCAAGUAAAGGCAUUUGUCACCAAGCCUGACAACCUGGUUUCUAUCUCCAGAUGGGAGAAGAAAAGUGACUCCCACAAAGUGCCUUCUGACUUCUGUGCAAGUGCCCAAACACACAGGCAUCUACACUCAUUCACAUACAAAAUAAAUAGGAUUUCUUAAAGGAAAGAAAAGGCUGGGUGUGGUGGUAUAAGCCUUAAAUCCCAGAGGCAGGCUUAUCUCUUAGCUCAAGGCCAGCCUGGUCUACAAAAGAUUUCCAGGUCAUCCAGGACUAAAUAAUGAGACCCUCACUCAAUAAACAAACAAGGGGUUGGAGAAAUGGCUCCAUACUUACUGAUCUUGCAGAAUACCCAGGUUUGCUUCACAGCACCCACAUCAGCCUUCUCACAACUGCUUAUAUAUAAUUCUAGUGUCGAGGGAUCCAAUACCCUCUGGCUUCCUGUUUUGUUUUUCCCAAGACAGGGUUUCUCUGUAUAGCCUUAGCUGUUCUGGAUUAGCUUUGUAGACCAGGCUGGCCUUCAACUCACAGAGACCCACCUCCCUCUGCCUCCCUGACCACUGGGAUGAAAGGCAUGAGCCACCACGGCCUGGCUUUCUUUCUCUCUCUCUUUUUUUUUUUCCUGCCUUUUUUCUGUCUGAUACCGGCCUACUAUGCUUUUUCUGAUACUCUGAUCGUCCUUAUUUCUGAAGCUUCUCUUUCUGGUAUUAUCUCUCAAAAGAUUGUCGGCCUAGAAAGAUGGCUCAGUAGGUGAGGACUUGUGUUGAUAUCACAGAGACGUAAAGUCUUUCACCUUUCGGCUCCGGUUUUUCGCGACCCCUAGAAGCUGCCUUGCUGCAGUCAAACACCUGGUGACACGGCCCACUCCGCAGAAAGCGGCUGGUCAAACGUCGGAAGUCUCACCUCCUCUACGAAGCAAAAAAGUGACUCCCAGUCUACCAUUGGCCCAGCGUCCCUUUGGCCUGCCCGGAAACGCCCUUCUGGGUUUUCUUUGGCCAGCGAAGGGUUUCUGAUUGAUGUAGUACAAGUCUCCUGAUUUUAAUGAGGUACGUCUGUGCGUCACGAUCACCGUGGCAGCAACCAAGCGACGGUGUGACGAUUUCUGGGAAACACUGUGUCCUUGUCUAACCUUGAGGCAAUGAAACUUCAGAGAUUUGGUUUAAAUCCGGACAACGGCAGUGGACGGGACGGGACUUCCGAGCUUGGCUUCAGUUCCCACUGUCCCCCGAAUCGGGUCUCCGAGCCCUUAGAUGGAUUUCUCAAGUUAGGAAGAUUGAGAGCCUGAGGGCGGAUGUCCUCCACUCUCACCACGCCAAUCCGAAAGGCUCUUUCCAGCUCCUAGUCUCCUAGUUUCUGAUGGACCCAAAACUACAGUGAAGAGAGGGUGCCCAAGUUCUCGUUCAGAGAUCUGGGCCUCAGGUUCCUGGAGUCUUGUACGAGAUGGCAUCCAAAACUUUCAGUUUUCCCCUGUGUUUAUAUAACUAUACGAACAGAGAAGACCUAGCACUAAACAGUGAGGCAUAGGCUGGGUGUGGUGGCACAGGCUUACAAUUCCACUCCAGGCUGAGGAAGGAGGAUCAUGAGUUCAAAAGACCUGAAUUCAAAAUGAGUUAGCAUACUUUUCAUGCUAACCACAGUCCACAGCUCUGAAGGGCUCAAGGCUAUACAACUGUUCAUCCCCAUUCCUGGACUCACAAAGUGAGUUAAGGCCAAACUGAGUAAUUUAGACAGACCUUCUCUCAAUUGUAAAGAGUCUGCCUACCAUGAACAAAGCUAUUGAUCCCCAGCAUGUUCCUCCCCCACCCUCCCCAGAAAGCUGUGGUGAUCAUCCUUGGGGAAUGAGGGUUUUGUCAGGCUGUUCAAGUAGCAGAACAGAAAGGAUCAGCCUACACUGUUGGCAUACUUUUUUAAACUAUUUUAUUUUUGUUUCUUUUACCUCUACCUCCCUUCUCCACCCUUUAACACCCCAAAAACUAGGAAGGAGAGAAAGAACGUUAGAGGUGAAAGGGGGCAUAGUUUUCUUUAGCUACUUCCGGCUGGUUAGGAUGGUCUGGUUCUUUGGGAAAUACCAAUCUCAGUCAUCAGGAUAUCUAGCAGCCCAGCAAACCAUCAACAAUAAACACUGCAAAAGGAUGAACCAGCAACAGCACAGGGAGCAGCAGCCUUCUUUCUUUCUUUCUUUCUUUCUUUCUUUCUUUCUUUCUUUUUUUCUCUCUCCCUGCUCUGGUAUUUAUACCCUCUCUAAAUUCUCAGAAUUCCACUAACUGCAGUUGGCCAAGACCAUACCCCUCUCCCAGCCACAUGAGGUAAUUAUCAGCUGUGGAUAAAUGAAGAGCAGCCCAUAUCCCACCACUUGGGAUUAAAACAAAAACAAAUUUAUAUAACAUAACUGAGUUUUGUUUUUGUUUUUUUUUUUUAAAGAAACCAAAACUUUCACUACUUAACUCGGAGUCCCAAGAAACCCUGGGUAGAUAGGUAGUCAGUGGAUCAACAGUUGGGGUAUUAGACCAAGGACAGCUGUGAAGGAAUAAUGCAUAGCAAAAGAAGAGGUAGAGAAGACAGAGAUUUGAGAUCUGCUCAUUGUUCUGGGCAGCUGAAGGUGGAAGUGAGAUGAUGAGGCGGGGCAAGAUGACAUGGAGGGUUUGAAGAUGUUUGAAGAGUGACACCUUUAAGAAGAGAGUGAAAGGGUUAGACUUACUUUGUAACCUAUAUGUCUUCUAAAGCCUAUAGUUUUGAGUUUUAGGUCCAGGUUAAGCUAAAGCCUCUUAGUACCUUUCCAGAGAGUGAAGAAAUGUGACCCUAUCUGUGAGGACAGAUAUAAAAAAAAAAGGGCAAGCAAGCAAUGACCUUCACUCAGCAAAAGUAGGACCAGACCCUUGUCCUUGAGAUAGCGUUUCUUAGCAACGAACCUAGACUUCUGAGUAGCUUUUGACCUCCAGCCAAAAGUCUGUAGCCCCUAAUCUUCAAGGAUGAGCUAACCACCCCCACCUUAAAUUGCAGCUGCAUCCACAUUUGGCAGGACUGGCCAAGCUUGAACACCUAAGACUAGCCAAUUAUCUUACUUUAUAACUUCCUCAUCCAAUCCUAAAUUGCCAAAACUGCAACUUCAAAUUUCCCGCAAUUUUUCUUUUAAAAACCUAAAGGCCUUUGUCUCCCGGUGCCACUCUUUGCUGACCGGCAGGGGUGACCCCAUUGUACAAUGGUUAAUAAACCUCUUGCUUUUGCAACGA